rnacentral:piRNA from 1 species
UAGCCCACAGGAGAUUUACAAUAGACAC